rnacentral:rRNA from 1 species
GUGCUACAAUGGACAAUACAAAGGGCAGCGAAACCGUGAGGUCAAGCAAAUCCCAUAAAGUUGUUCUCAGUUCGGAUUGUAGUCUGCAACUCGACUACAUGAAGCUGGAAUCGCUAGUAAUCGUAGAUCAGCAUGCUACGGUGAAUACGUUCCCGGGUCUUGUACACACCGCCCGUCACACCACGAGAGUUUGUAACACCCGAAGCCGGUGGAGUAACCUUUUAGGAGCUAGCCGUCGAAGGUGGGACAAAUGAUUGGGGUGAAGUCGUAACAAGGUAGCCGUAUCGGAAGGUGCGGCUGGAUCACCUCCUUU